UGCAGUCGAGCGGAGAUGAGGUGCUUGCACCUUAUCUUAGCGGCGGACGGGUGAGUAAUGCUUAGGAAUCUGCCUAUUAGUGGGGGACAACAUUCCGAAAGGAAUGCUAAUACCGCAUACGCCCUACGGGGGAAAGCAGGGGAUCUUCGGACCUUGCGCUAAUAGAUGAGCCUAAGUCGGAUUAGCUAGUUGGUGGGGUAAAGGCCUACCAAGGCGACGAUCUGUAGCGGGUCUGAGAGGAUGAUCCGCCACACUGGGACUGAGACACGGCCCAGACUCCUACGGGAGGCAGCAGUGGGGAAUAUUGGACAAUGGGCGGAAGCCUGAUCCAGCCAUGCCGCGUGUGUGAAGAAGGCCUUUUGGUUGUAAAGCACUUUAAGCGAGGAGGAGGCUACUUAGAUUAAUACUCUAGGAUAGUGGACGUUACUCGCAGAAUAAGCACCGGCUAACUCUGUGCCAGCAGCCGCGGUAAUACAGAGGGUGCGAGCGUUAAUCGGAUUUACUGGGCGUAAAGCGUGCGUAGGCGGCUGAUUAAGUCGGAUGUGAAAUCCCUGAGCUUAACUUAGGAUUUGCAUUCGAUACUGGUCAGCUAGAGUAUGGGAGAGGAUGGUAGAAUUCCAGGUGUAGCGGUGAAAUGCGUAGAGAUCUGGAGGAAUACCGAUGGCGAAGGCAGCCAUCUGGCCUAAUACUGACGCUGAGGUACGAAAGCAUGGGGGAGCAA
rnacentral:rRNA from 1 species